AUACGUAGGGGGCAAGCGUUAUCCGGAUUUAUUGGGUUUAAAGGGUGCGUAGGCGGUUUGUCAAGUCAGCGGUGAAACGCAAGGGCUUAACCCUUGACCUGCCGUUGAAACUGGCGGACUUGAAUGCGGAUGCUGUGGGAGGAAUGUGUGGUGUAGCGGUGAAAUGCAUAGAUAUCACACAGAACACCGAUUGCGAAGGCAUCUCACAAAUCCGUGAUUGACGCUGAGGCACGAAAGUGUGGGGAUCAAACAGGAUUAGAUACCCUGGUAGUCCACACUGUAAACGAUGAUGACUCGCUGUCGGCGAUAUACAGUCGGUGGCCAAGCGAAAGCGAUAAGUCAUCCACCUGGGGAGUACGACCGCAAGGUUGAAACUCAAAUGAAUUGACGGGG
rnacentral:rRNA from 1 species